GAUGAACGCUAGCGGCAGGCUUAAUACAUGCAAGUCGAGGGGUAGCAAGAUUGUAGCAAUACAAUUGUUGACGACCGGCAAACGGGUGCGGAACACGUACACAACCUUCCUACAAGUGGGGAAUAGCCCAGAGAAAUUUGGAUUAAUACCCCGUAACAUAGCGAUGUGGCAUCACAUUGCUAUUAUAGCUUCGGCGCUUGUUGAUGGGUGUGCGGCUGAUUAGAUAGUUGGCGGGGUAACGGCCCACCAAGCCUACGAUCAGUAGCUGAUGUGAGAGCAUGAUCAGCCACACGGGCACUGAGACACGGGCCCGACUCCUACGGGAGGCAGCAGUAAGGAAUAUUGGACAAUGGACGCAAGUCUGAUCCAGCCAUGCCGCGUGAAGGAUUAAGGUCCUCUGGAUUGUAAACUUCUUUUAUAAGGGACGAAAAAAGGUCUUUCUAGAUCGUCUGACGGUACCUUAUGAAUAAGCACCGGCUAACUCCGUGCCAGCCGCCGCCGUAAAAC
rnacentral:rRNA from 1 species